GGGGCUGUAGCUCAGUGGCAGAGCACCUGCCUUGCACAUGUGAGGCACUGAGUUCAAUUCUCAGCACCA
rnacentral:tRNA from 1 species